GGCUGGGGUUCAGUGGUUAAGAACACUGACUGCUCUUGCAGAGGUCCUCUGUUCAACUCCUAGCAACCA
rnacentral:tRNA from 1 species